AGUGGAUUUAAGAAACUUUAUUUUGAAUUUUAUCUUUUUUGAUUAUAGCAUUUAAAAAAAUUAUAGGACCUAAAUGUUUAGUAUGAAGCCUUGAGAGGAGAUUAGUGCCUAAAGAAAAAAAUCUUAACAAGUAGAAGGCUUAUUGGGAGGGAUGAAAGCAAGGCAUGGUUGGAUGAAGGCAAGGAAUGGAGAUUUUCAUUCC
rnacentral:lncRNA from 1 species